AAGCGGAGGAAAAGAAACUAACUAGGAAUCUCUUAGUAAGUGCGACCGAAGAGAGGAAAGUCGGUCGACCCAAUCCUUUUGGAAAUGUGGUUGAGAGGCUUUUUGCUAGAGCGUAACUUGUGAUGGUUCACAGGCUAUAAAGAGUUUAAGCCUCGUAGCUUUUGCAAGCUAGGUCCCUGUAAACGAGUCGGGCAGCUUGAGAAUGCUGCCUUAAGUAGGUGGUACGCCCCAUCAGAAACUGGAUGCUGUGAGAAGACCGAUGGAGCGCGAGUGGUGUGAAGGAAAG
rnacentral:rRNA from 1 species